rnacentral:lncRNA from 10 species
AGGUCCAGGAAGAGAGCCUGGUAAAUGAAUGGACAAUCAGAUGUUGCUGGCUGCAAGGGCUCUCCAGGUUUCUCUCCCCAGGGACUGGCCUUCAGCAAAGCCAGGUCUACUGCAAAGCCAGCAGGAUUUGGAGUCCAAAGAUCUGUGCUUCCUGACCUGCGACUGGCCUCCACCACAGUGCUUUGGUGGCUGGACUGCUAGUCAGGGUCCCACUACCCUGAGCUUCUGUAUCUUCUUCUGUCAAAUGAAAGUAAUGAACUUCUCAGCCAGCUCAGAAGCUUUUGGUGAGGCCCAAAUGCCAUAAUGCAUGCAGAGAGCAAAUCGGAAAAGACUGCAGCAAGGCAUCUUCCUAUGCGACAGGGGAUUCUGCCUUCGCCCAGCCUCCAUGUCACCUUUUGAGUGUCAAGGCAUCUUCCAUUGGCCACGAAAUGACAGAGAAGUCAUCCAUCUGCAGAAGCCUCCUGUGUGCACCGUGGAAUCACCGUGUCUGUACGGGCACGAAUGCUUUAAGAAAACAGCCCUGCUUCUUCACAAACUCUAGUCAUUUCACUUGGAAUCUGUCCAUCAAGAAAUUAGGUUUGCAGAGUCCAAAGCAAGCUCCCUAGAGCUUUACAAACAAGCUGGCGGGCAAGGCAGCGCGCCCUAUAGUGUCUCUGUGGAGCGCUAAGAUCUGUGACCCCUUUGCCACAUGGGGUGUGCGCUCAGACUGGGCUAUGAAUAUAUCAGCCUCUCUCCACCCGCACUUAGGGACAGAAGAUAUGGAGACUCCAGGAACUUCAUGAACUAUUUGCUGUGGUCUUCUGUCCCGGGAUAGUCCGGGUCUCACUCCCAGCUCUCCAGAGCUUAACCCUCCCUCUCAGGGGAAUGUUUGAAACCUACGAAGAAUUCUCAGGAAUUCGAGGUAGAAGGUGGCAGAGAGACUUCUGUUCCUGGGGGCCGAGCUGUUGUGCUGAUACCGUCCUCUUGGCGUCUGCCCUAGUGGGGACCCUUGAUUUUAACUUGAAGUUCCUGGACUGGGUCUAACCUUAGCAUGUGUGCCUGAGUGAUGGACUUGGUAUUUACACCAGCCACGCUGAUAAGUGCACAUGUGUUUUUAAUGUUUUGGCUUUCCACACCACAAACACACAGAUGUGCUGUCGCCCGGGCUAGGACUUGAGUAGGGUUUUUCUAUUUAAAUAUAUAUUAUAUAUUUAAAAAAGUGUCCUCCCAGAGCUAAUACCGUUGCUAGCAGCUCUUCCUGCCGCCACACCGGGCAAAG